rnacentral:rRNA from 1 species
GUCCGUGGCCAUACCACCUUGAGUGCUCCUGAUCUCGUGUGCUCUCGGAAGCCAAGCAGGUCUGGACCUGGUUAGUACUUGGAUGGGCGAUUCAGUAUUUAUUUCAACUCUGAAU